UCAAGUGUUGGAUAAAUUUUAGAAAAAGUUAUUACAAUAUAAUAAAUUCGUAGCAAAUCAUCUUUUUAAUCGAUUAAUCCCAAAAUAGUGUAUUUAUAGAUGUAGACAUGAUAAUAAAAAAUCAACAAUUAUAUUUUAAUAAAUUAUGUGUCUAAACAAUGCUAGUUCGGACGCUCCCAACAGUUAAUGAAAAAUGGAUUUACAAAAGAACCUUUUGUAUUUUGAGUGUUUAAAAGUUUUCGAAAUGUUUGGACAUUAAAAUGAUUUUUGUGAGUUUUUUUUGUGAUUGGAUGUUUUCAUACUGGUGGUUCAUAUAUCAUCGUGAUGGGUGAUAAAAUAAAUAGAGAAUAUUUCGCUCCUGGCUCAGCAGCCUUCAAUUACAAUAAUGUGACGGGCGGUGCAGACAGCGCCAGCGGAGGCUCUGGUGGCUCGGGCAUGGAGUGCCUGCAGUUGCGCUCGCCUCCUGGACCCUUUCAUUACCUCAUCUCGGAGCAGGCUAAGUCUCUCGUAGCUCUUCAGGAACUCCAGAAUGAGGUCGGGGCAUUACUCGAAUUUCGCGAUCUCGUCAUCGAGACAUUCCCGAACUUGCGCUCUAAGAUGGCGCCAUCGACACCGGCGAGCGGUACACGUAGGGAUUGGGAACCCGGAGUGCGUGUGCGACGUAAGCUCGCCGGAGGCAGUGGAGACACAGCGAGGACAAAACCCCAGCCAUCAGUUCAGGAUUCUGGUUUCAGUACAGAAACAUCGUGUGGCAAAGACGCCCACUCCUCGGCCUCUGCAUCCGCUUCCGCAUCUCGCUCUCGCCCCCUUGAAGACGAACUGUGGGCACUUCUCGAUGUCAUACAACGAAAAGGUGUUCGAUUACGGGACGAAGCUGAGUUAUUACGAGGGGAACUCGACGAAAGACCUUCGGAAACAGCAGAGGAAUCCUUCGCACGAGCGUUGUCCACUGGAUGUGGGGACUGCACGGACUUGGUUCGGUUACGAACAGAGAGAGACGCUUUACUCGCGCAUGCUGCUCAACUGGAAGCGGCAGCGGCUGCCAGUCCACCACCUGCUGCCACCACCCCCCUCGGACGACUGGACAAUGCCCUGGACACGCCAUCACGACCGCCGCGCGUUCCGACCCCGGACUCGAAGAAGUUCGCUGCGAUUCUCCUCGAGAGUAAUCCCGUCGAACUUCAACGACAACUACUCAUAUCCACCGUUCAGAAUCAGGUGAUCAGCUCUAAGCUAAGGCGUGAGGCGGCGCACCGCACAGUGCUGUUAGAGAAGCUGGAGCGAGCACGGGACCAGAAUGAAGACCUCAAGUUCAGACUAGAGGAGAAGAGCAUAGAGCUAGAGGGAGCGCGCGCGCGCGUCCGCCAGCUCGAGGGCAAGCAGAGCCGCUCGCACAGCAGCAUGCGCGAGAUGGAGCCGCUGGCGCUGCCGCUGGCGCCGCCCGCGCCCGAGUCGCCGCGGCCGAGCGAGUCGCCGCGCCAGGCCGACACGCCGCGCGCGCGGCCGUCGCGCAUCCCGCGCCACACGCACACGGCGCACAAGGCCGCCGCGCCGCGCCCGCCGCCGCGCCCGCCCUCGGCGCACUCGGCGCACUCGGGCCGCUCGGCGCGCUCGGCCGCGUCCACGCGCUCGGGCGGCGCGGCGCGCAAGGACGCCAAGUGCGCCGUGCCCGUGCGCCGCUCGCCCUCGCACGACAGCAAGGUGCGCACGUCGCGCUCCUUCUGGAACGCCUGGUUCUCCUUCAAGGACUCGUAGGCGUCCGACACCGUGUGACAGUGCACCCGAUCAGUGACUCACCCGCUAAUAACUGUUCUGUGAUCGUUCGGUCCCGGGGGCGGCGCGCUCUAGUUCAUGCCAUUAUGUCGAUCUUCCAUCCCCUGUGCAACAACUUUAUGUGGUAUGGGUCUGUUUUGUAAUUUUUGUUUUCCUGUAGAUUAGUUGCGUGUUUGCUCACCGUACUUUGGUUGUGUUUGGUUUAUUAUAAUCCACAAUGUUACUUUGUUCACUAUAUUUUUAUCACAAAAUUGUUUUAAAACAUCUUACUAAAAUGAAUUAAACUAAAGUGACAAAAUUUAAUGUCACUAUUACUUACAAUGGUAACCAUGCAAUCCCAAAACAAUUGUUUUUAUUUUCUGUUUUGUUGAUAUUAUAACCUUAAAUUUUGUCAAAUUUUGUGAGGACGCCAUGCUUUUUCUGUUAAACUAUCCUUGAUUACUACCUCUUUUCGUCGUGAUCAACAAAAGUCAUAUAGAAAAAACAUGCACGCAUUACAUUUUAUGGUUUAACAUUUAUGUAGUUAGUUAAUUUAUUUAUUUUGUUAACUAUGAUUUGUUAUAUAUUAUUUUAAAAGUAAUUGACAUAGUGGCAUAACGGUAAUAAUUGGCUAGUCACAAAGCGAAACAUCACUCCUUCGCUCUAUCCACUUGGCUCAAAUUGCACUGUUGACGCAAAUCGACAUUCACAAAUAUAGAGCAACACUUGCCGGCACCGUUUACACAAAAAAAUACUUAAUUUUGCAAAAAGGAAAAACAAGUAUCUAACACAGGCUGUAUGUGUUUAACCUCAUUGAAUAAUAUUCAACUAGCCUUAUUGUAAUUUUUAAGCACCUUUGUAUUAUAUAAUGCGGGAAAUAAAUAUCAUCUGAUCUAAUUUGAAAUACUUUUGUUUUGUGAAAUCUCAAGUCUUAACAUGACAUGCAGGCCACGGGUCGAGACUAUAUUGUCACUCUAUUAUCACGUCACCGAGUUGAAGUUGAAUGAUUUUUUUUUAUCAAGUGGUAUUAAUACUAAAAGCUUUAAAAUUGUACGCGUUUACAAAACGAACGUUGUAUAUGUAAUAUAGGAUUAAACAAUAAAUUUAAUAACUAACUUUACAUUUAACACAAAGGCAAUUUUUAUUUAUCAUUCAGAAAAUUAAUAUUAUACACUAAGAAACAAAAAUUAACCUACGAAUUAGUUCAUCUUAACCUCUAACAGCGAGCAUUUCAAGGUGAAUGGAACCCUCGGGGUCUAACCCAAUAUUAAAUACACUUUUUCUAAAAAAAUGGAAAGUAAAUUCCCAUGAGACAGCAGCCCCCGGCGGGUAGGAGUGGCGAGUGACCGCUGACCGCUCCGAUUGUGCAGAAGGCGUGCGAGGCGUCGCUGUGCGCGGCGCGCGCGGUGUCGCUGGCGGCCGAGUACGUGGCGCGCGCCGAGCGCCUGGCGCCGCUGUUCCCGCGCCUGCGCCCGCUGCCCGCCGACCUCGCCUACGAGUCGCCGCGC